rnacentral:ncRNA from 2 species
UAUUUAAAAACGAAUAUCACUCAUAUAAUACCGAUAAUAUGGUUCGGAAGUAUCUACCGAAUGACCGAGAAUCAUUCGACUAUGAGUGGAAUUAUUAUAUUA